CGGGCAAAGGGAGAGGCGAGGGGAGGAAGAGGCGCGUGGUGCGGAAGGAAGGCGAAAGUGGAGAAGUGGCGAUGCUUGUAAGGCAUUAACGGAUUGAACAGCGGGUGGCAAACUCGAGUGAAAUUGAAAGAAAAUAAGACGAUGGGAUCGAUUUCGUUUCGUGAACACAUUUUGUGAACACCGUUUCCGGAUUUUCUCUACAUUUUUGUCUUAAGAA